GCGGGUAUAGCUCAGUGGUAGAGCACAACCUUGCCAAGGUUGGGGUCGCGCGUUCGAGCCGCGUUACCCGCU
rfam:Vitrella brassicaformis CCMP3155 genome assembly, contig: scaffold380